rnacentral:rRNA from 1 species
AUGAUGGUGGCUGACAACGACCAUACUAUGGUGGUGGCGGAUGACGACCUUGCUAUGGUGGUGGCUGACGAUGACUCUACUAUGGUGAUGGUGGACGACGACCUUGCUAUGGUGGCUGACGACGACCUUGCGAUUGUGGUGCCUAAUGAUGACCUCGCAAUGUUGGUGCUUGACAAUGACCUCCUGAUGGUGGUGGCUCCUGCAAUCCCACAGCUUGGUGACAGGACCAUGUCAAUUGUGGUAGAGGAGUACAUCCACGUUGGGAUUCGCCACUCUGAGCGCAUCAGGUUGAUGAAGGAGAAGAACGAGGAGAACAAGUGA